UACGUAGGGGGCAAGCGUUGUCCGGAUUCAUUGGGCGUAAAGAGCGUGUAGGCGGCCAGGUAGGUCGGUUGUGAAAACUGGAGGCUCAACCUUCAGACGUCGACCGAAACCAUUUGGCUAGAGUCCGGAAGAGGAGAGUGGAAUUCCCGGUGUAGCGGUGAAAUGCGCAGAUAUCAGGAAGAACACCAAUGGCGAAGGCAGCUCUCUGGGACGGUACUGACGCUGAGACGCGAAAAGCGUGGGGAGCGAACAGG
rnacentral:rRNA from 1 species